rnacentral:rRNA from 1 species
CCUACGGGUGGCUGCAGUGAGGAAUAUUGGUCAAUGGGCGAGAGCCUGAACCAGCCAAGUCGCGUGAGGGAAGACGGUCCUAUGGAUUGUAAACCUCUUUUGUCGGGGAGCAAAAGACGCCUCGCGUGGCGUUCCGAGAGUACCCGAAGAGACAGCAUCGGCUAACUCCGUGCCAGCAGCCGCGGUAAUACGGAGGAUGCGAGCGUUAUCCGGAUUUAUUGGGUUUAAAGGGUGCGCAGGCGGAAGAUCAAGUCAGCGGUAAAAGUGAGGGGCCAAACCUCUGCGAGCCGUUGAAACUGGUUUUCUUGAGUGAGCGAGAGGUAUGCGGAAUGCGUGGUGUAGCGGUGAAAUGCAUAGAUAUCACGCAGAACUCCGAUUGCGAAGGCAGCAUACCGGCGCUCAACUGACGCUCAUGCACGAAAGUGUGGGUAUCGAACAGGAUUAGAUACCCGUGUAGUC